GGAAGGGUGGCUGAGUGGUCGAAAGCGGCACACUGCUAACGUGUUGUCCGGUACUCCCGGACCGCGGGUUCGAAUCCCGCCCCUUCCG
rnacentral:tRNA from 1 species